rnacentral:rRNA from 1 species
AUUGAACGCUGGCGGAAUGCUUUACACAUGCAAGUCGAACGGUAGAGGGGGCAACCCCUCGAGAGUGGCGAACGGGUGAGUAAUAUAUCGGAACGUGCCCAGUCGUGGGGGAUAACGUAGCGAAAGUUACGCUAAUACCGCAUACGAUCUAAGGAUGAAAGCGGGGGACCGUAAGGCCUCGCCCGAUUGGAGCGGCCGAUAUCAGAUUAGGUAGUUGGGGAGGUAAAGGCUCACCAAGCCAACGAUCUGUAGCUGGUCUGAGAGGACGCCCAGCCACACUGGAACUGAGACACGGUCCAGACUCCUACGGGAGGCAGCAGUGGGGAAUUUUGGACAAUGGACGCAAGUCUGAUCCAGCCAUUCCGCGUGCAGGAUGAAGGCCCUCGGGUUGUAAACUGCUUUUGUACGGAACGAAAAGGUCUCUCCUAAUACGAGGGGCUCAUGACGGUACCGUAAGAAUAAGCACCGGCUAACUACGUGCCAGCCGCCGCCGUAA